GACGAACGCUGGCGGCGUGCUUAACACAUGCAAGUCGAACGGAAAGGCCCUGCUUUUGUGGGGUGCUCGAGUGGCGAACGGGUGAGUAACACGUGAGUAACCUGCCCUUGACUUUGGGAUAACUUCAGGAAACUGGGGCUAAUACCGGAUAGGAGCUCCUGCUGCAUGGUGGGGGUUGGAAAGUUUCGGCGGUUGGGGAUGGACUCGCGGCUUAUCAGCUUGUUGGUGGGGUAGUGGCUUACCAAGGCUUUGACGGGUAGCCGGCCUGAGAGGGUGACCGGCCACAUUGGGACUGAGAUACGGACCAGACUCCUACGGGACGCAGCAGUGGGGAAUAUUGCACAAUGGGCGGAAGCCUGAUGCAGCAACGCCGCGUGCGGGAUGACGGCUUUCGGGUUGCAAACCUCUUUCGCCUGUGACGAAGCGUGAGUGACGGUAAUGGGUAAAGAAGCACCGGCUAACUACGUG
rnacentral:rRNA from 1 species